AUACUUACCUGGCGUCGGCAUACCGUAAUCAUGUAGGCGGUUCCCCCAGGGCGCGGCUGUUCCAUUGCACUGCGGAAUGGUUGACCCUUGCGAUUAUUUUUAUAUUUUAUAAGUUUGACUUCUACCGUGUGUGACUUGCACACUCGUGGAUGUCAUU